UUAGUGGCGCACGGGUGAGUAACACGUGGGAACCUGCCUUUCGGUUCGGAAUAACGUCUGGAAACGGACGCUAACACCGGAUACGCCCUUCGGGGGAAAGUUUACGCCGAGAGAGGGGCCCGCGUCGGAUUAGGUAGUUGGUG
rnacentral:rRNA from 1 species